AGAACGAACGCUGGCGGCAGGCUUAACACAUGCAAGUCGAACGGAUGUAGCAAUACAUUAGUGGCGCACGGGUGAGUAACACGUGGGAACGUACCCUUCAGUCGGGGAUAACGUCGGGAAACUGACGCUAAAAACCCGAUAUUCCCUCCGGGGGAAAGUUUACGCUGAAGGAUCGGCCCGCGCUAGAUUAGGUAGUUGGUAGGGUAAUGGCCUACCAAGCCUACGAUCUAUAGCUGGUCUGAGAGGACGACCAGCCACACUGGAACUGAGACACGGUCCAGACUCCUACGGGAGGCAGCAGUGGGGAAUAUUGGACAAUGGGCGAAAGCCUGAUCCAGCCAUGCCGCGUGAGUGAUGAAGGCCUUAGGGUGUAAAGCACUUUUAGUGGGGAUGAAAAGCUCAGGGUUAACACCUCUGGGUCUUGACCUAACCCACAGAAAAGCACCGGCUAACUCUGUGCCAGCAGCCGC
rnacentral:rRNA from 1 species